rnacentral:rRNA from 1 species
UACGGAGGGUGCAAGCGUUAUCCGGAUUCACUGGGUUUAAAGGGUGCGUAGGUGGGUAUGUAAGUCAGUGGUGAAAUCCCCGAGCUUAACUUGGGACUGCCGUUGAUACUAUAUAUCUUGAAUGCCGUAGAGGUAAGCGGAAUAUGUCAUGUAGCGGUGAAAUGCUUAGAUAUGACAUAGAACACCAAUUGCGAAGGCAGCUUACUAUGCGGUUAUUGACACUGAGGCACGAAAGCGUGGGUAGCAAACAGG